rnacentral:miRNA from 19 species
AGACUAGAGGGUCAGCAAGGGUGUGUGACUCUAUAAUCCAAGCUGUGCUAGUAGAUCGCUUAAGAUCGAAGUGCACACCAAGCAUUCGAUUGUAGAGUCAUACACCUCCACUGACACUUCUAGUCU